AUGGCCGUCGCCGUCGACGUCCGCGGCUCCAUCCAGCUCCUCCGCACCUGCGGCGCCGUGGCCGGCCAGCAGCUGCACCAGGUCCUCCUCAAGUCCGGCCACGUCCCGUCCUCCCUCCCGCCCUCCAACUCGGUCCUCCUCAUGUACGCCCGUUUCUCUCCGACCCACCGCCGCGACGCACUGCGAUUGUUCGACGAAAUGCCCGGCAGGAACUGCUUCUCCUACAACUCCCUCGUCACCGCCCACCUCAACUCCCGGGACCACGCCGAGGCGCUCAGUCUCUUCCGCUCCAUGCCGGAAAGGAACAACUUUUCGUGGAACGCAGUGAUCACAGGCAUGGUCUCUGCAGGGGAUUUGGACACCGCCCGCAGUCUGCUGGACGAGAUGCCCGUCAAGGAUGCUGUGGCUGUCAACGCUGUUAUGCAUAGGUAUGUCCGGUGCGGCCGUGUGGAUGAGGCGUUUGCUUUGUUCAGAGAGAUUGGUUCGGCACGCGGUGGUGCAGCGGACUCCUCGCCGUGCAAUGAUCUUUUUGUGCUUGCUACGGUUGUUGGUGCUUGUGCUGACCGGAUGAAGUACAAUUUUGGGAGACAAGUGCAUAGUCGAAUGGUGACUGCCAAGAUUGAACUGGAUUCGGUUUUGAGUUGCGCAUUGGUGGACAUGUACUGCAAGUGUGGGGAUGUGGACUCUGCUCGGCGUGUCUUUGAUGGUUUAGCACAGAUUGACGAGUUCUCUGUUUCUGCCCUGGUCUAUGGCUAUGCUUCCCGUGGACAGCUAAACAAGGCGUUACAUAUUUUUGAUAGGGUGGAGAACCUCAACAUUCUUUUGUGGAAUUCUCUCAUCAGUGGCUGUGCAUUUGCCUGCCUUGGAGAUGAUGCUUUUGCUCUUUUUGUAAGGAUGAUGCGGUCAGAUGUGUUGCCUGAUUCUUCAACGUAUGCCAGCGUUCUGAAUGUUUGUGGUUUUUCAGGAAUGCUCAAGUCUGGGCAGCAGAUACAUGGGUGUGGUCUAAAGAGUGGGACUGUCAAUGACAUGAUAGCAGCAAGCGCUCUCAUUGACUUCUACUCAAAAUGCACCCUCUGGGAGGAUGCUUGUCGAGCUUUCAGUGAGCUUAGGUUUCACGAUACUGUGGUGCUCAAUUCAAUGAUCACCGUGUACUCAAACUGUGGGCGGAUAGAAGAGGCGAAAAGAGUUUUUUCGAUGAUCACUAGCAAGAGUGUCAUAUCAUGGAACUCUUUGGUUGUUGGGUUGAGCCAGAAUGGACAUGCAAUUGAUGCCAUGGAGCUGUUCUGCAAGAUGCAUCGCCUUGGCGUGCGGCUCGACAAGGUUGCUAUAGCUAGUGCUCUGAGUGCAUCAAGUAAUAUUUGCUCCAUAAGUUUUGGGGAGCAGAUUUUUUCUCUUGCUACUGUUCUUGGCUUGCAGUCUGACCAUGUUGUAGCCUCUUCAGUCAUCGAUCUGUAUUGCAAAUGUGGCAACUUGGCCAAUGGUUGCAAAAUUUUCGAUGGAAUAUACAAGCCCGACGAAGUCAUGUGGAACUCAAUGCUAAUUGGUUAUGCUUCCAACGGGCAUGGACGCAAGGCACUAGAACUCUUGGAGCUGAUGAGAGUUAGCGGUGAAAGACCAACCGAACGGACAUUUGUUGGUGUCCUUUCCGCGUGCUGCCACUCUGGACUUGUGGAAGAAGGACUGACAUGGUUUAAGAAAAUGCAGGAGGAUUUCUGUCUGAUUCCAUCAGCUGAGCAUUAUGCAUGUGUGACUGACCUGUUAGUCCGGGCAGGUCGGCUAGAUGAAGCAGUUGAGUUCAUCGAGAAUAUGCCCUUUAAAGCCGAUACAGUAAGUUGGACUACAGUUGUUGGUGGUUGCAGAGCUCAGGGCAAUGAGGCUCUGAUCAAGAAGAUGUCAAAGAGACUGAAGCAGAUGGAGGAAUCAGGAUCACCACAUUCCAGUCUGUAUGUGCAGCUGUCCAGCGUGCUCGCUGCUAAAGGGGAUUGGGCCAAAUCAGCUGAAAUGAGGGGUAUGAUGCGUGAGAGAAGAAUUGCGAAAAAUCCUGGUUGCAGUUGGAUUGACAGUUAG
rnacentral:rRNA from 1 species